CGUGUAGGCGGUCUGCUAAGUCUGAUGUGAAAGCCCGGGGCUCACCCCCGGAAGUGCAUUGGAAACUGACAGACUGGAGUCCCGGAGAGGAGGGUGGAAUUCCUGGUGUAGCGGUGAAAUGCGUAGAUAUCAGGAGGAACACCGGUGGCGAAGGCGGCUCUCUGGUCCGUUUCUGACGCUGAGGUGCGAAAGCUAGGGUAGCGAACG
rnacentral:rRNA from 1 species